AUGGUAAUCAAACAUAUGAUGCAUGGUCCUUGUGGUGCAUUGAAUAAAUUAUGUCCAUGCACAAAGAAUCAUCCGUCAUGCAAGAACAAUUAUCCAAGGCCAUUUACCGAAACUACAAUUCAAGGCAAGGACUCUUACCCAAUAUAUAGGAGACACAAUGACGGUCGGACUGAAACGGUCGGAAAUUGCAAACUGGAUAAUAGGUGGGUGGUUCCUUACAACCCCUAUCUAUUAAUGAUGUUCAACUACCACAUAAAUGUUGAGAUAUGCUCAAGCAUUAAAGCCGUGAAGUACCUGCUCAAGUACAUCUACAAGGGUCAUGAUCGAGCAUCUGUAUCUGUAACUGAUAAAGCAAACGAAGCCGAAAUCGACGAGAUUCAACAAUACCGAGAUGCACGCUGCGGUGACGCCACCAGAAGCACUAUGGAGAAUAUAUGGCUUCGAACUAAGCAAAAUGCACCCGCCAGUCUUGCAACUACAGUUGCAUCUCCCAAAUAUGCACAUGGUUUCAUAUCAUGGCAAAGAAAAAUAAAGAAUGUUAUCGACCGUUAA
rnacentral:rRNA from 1 species